GAUGAACGCUGGCGGCAUGCCUUACACAUGCAAGUCGAACGGUAACAGGUCUUCGGAUGCUGACGAGUGGCGAACGGGUGAGUAAUACAUCGGAACGUGCCUAGUAGUGGGGGAUAACUACUCGAAAGAGUGGCUAAUACCGCAUGAGAUCUACGGAUGAAAGCAGGGGAUCGCAAGACCUUGUGCUACUAGAGCGGCCGAUGGCAGAUUAGGUAGUUGGUGGGAUAAAAGCUUACCAAGCCGACGAUCUGUAGCUGGUCUGAGAGGACGAUCAGCCACACUGGGACUGAGACACGGCCCAGACUCCUACGGGAGGCAGCAGUGGGGAAUUUUGGACAAUGGGCGCAAGCCUGAUCCAGCAAUGCCGCGUGCAGGAUGAAGGCCUUCGGGUUGUAAACUGCUUUUGUACGGAACGAAAAGCCCUGGGUUAAUACCCUGGGGUCAUGACGGUACCGUAAGAAUAAGCACCGGCUAACUACGUGCCAGCAGCCGCCGUAA
rnacentral:rRNA from 1 species